ACAAUGCCUCAUUGUGCUGAUGCUGCUGGUAUCAAACUCUGCAGAAAUGGUGAUCCCAAUCUACAGCAGUUCCACUGUGUACAGAGACUGUCAUAUCUGGUUGAUUUUGUGAAGUUUAUGAAGAGAAAUGAAUUGUGCUUUCUAAAAUAUCCUUUCUACAUCAAAAAAUGAACACGCUGUAUGCUCAUUAUGAUGAUUCAAUGCUAACCCUUGCAAUUCAACAUGGAUCUUAACUCCAAACCACCAUAGAAGCCAGAAGGGGACCUGACCAUCUGAGCCUUCAGGAAUACAUCCUCCAUGGAUCUCAAUCUAUAUUCCCAAAGAGAGAAACAA